AGCGAACGCUGGCGGCAGGCUUAACACAUGCAAGUCGAGCGCGCGUAGCAAUACGUGAGCGGCAGACGGGAGAGUAACACGUGGGAACGUACCCCUUGGUUCGGAAUAACUCAGGGAAACUUGAGCUAAUACCGGAUACGUCGGCAACGAGAAAGAUUUAUCGCCGAGGGAUCGGCCCGCGUCCGAUUAGCUGGUUGGUGAGGUAAUGGCUCACCAAGGCGACGAUCGGUAGCUGGUCUGAGAGGAUGAUCAGCCUCACUGGGACUGAGACACGGCCCAGACUCCUACGGGAGGCAGCAGUGGGGAAUAUUGGACAAUGGGCGCAAGCCUGAUCCAGCCAUGCCGCGUGGGUGAUGAAGGCCUUAGGGUUGUAAAGCCCUUUCGGCGGGGAAGAUAAUGACGGUACCCGCAGAAGAAGCCCCGGCUAACUUCGUGCCAGCAGCCGCAGUAAAAC
rnacentral:rRNA from 1 species